GACGAACGCUGGCGGCGUGCCUAAUACAUGCAAGUCGAACGCUGAAGAGAGGAGCUUGCUCUUCUUGGAUGAGUUGCGAACGGGUGAGUAACGCGUAGGUAACCUGCCUUGUAGCGGGGGAUAACUAUUGGAAACGAUAGCUAAUACCGCAUAACAAUGGAUGACACAUGUCAUUUAUUUGAAAGGGGCAAUUGCUCCACUACAAGAUGGACCUGCGUUGUAUUAGCUAGUAGGUGAGGUAACGGCUCACCUAGGCGACGAUACAUAGCCGACCUGAGAGGGUGAUCGGCCACACUGGGACUGAGACACGGCCCAGACUCCUACGGGAGGCAGCAGUAGGGAAUCUUCGGCAAUGGGGGCAACCCUGACCGAGCAACGCCGCGUGAGUGAAGAAGGUUUUCGGAUCGUAAAGCUCUGUUGUAAGUCAAGAACGAGUGUGAGUGUGGAAAGUUCACACUGUGACGGUAGCUUACCAGAAAGGGACGGCUAACUACGU
rnacentral:rRNA from 1 species